CCCCUGGCCUCCAUGACGUAUCACUGAGCAAGUAUAGUAUGGAGGCAUACUACAAUGAAUUCAUUGACAGCAGUGGCCCCAUAGGUGAUGAUGAACCAAUACACAAAAUCUAUCGACAUCUGGCCUACAGAAGAUUUACAUACUGGAUUUGGCAGAAAUUGGGAAAAAAUCAUCGCAAGGUGAUUCCUUCUUGUGUUGUCCAUGUUAUACGUGCAACAUUUCCAUCAGAUGUAUAUACUGGAUUUCUUUAUUCUCACUAGAAUAAAUAUUGUUUUAAUGGAAA